GCGCCCGUAGCUCAACAUUGGAUAGAGCAAGGCACUCCUAAGGCCGAGGUUGUGAGUUCGAGUCUCACCGGGCGCA
rnacentral:tRNA from 1 species